rnacentral:rRNA from 1 species
GACGAACGCUGGCGGCGUGCCUAAUACAUGCAAGUAGAACGCUGAAGGAGGAGCUUGCUUCUCUGGAUGAGUUGCGAACGGGUGAGUAACGCGUAGGUAACCUGCCUGGUAGCGGGGGAUAACUAUUGGAAACGAUAGCUAAUACCGCAUAAUAUUGACUAUUGCAUGAUAGUCAAUUAAAAGGUGCAAUUGCAUCACUACCAGAUGGACCUGCGUUGUAUUAGCUAGUUGGUGAGGUAACGGCUCACCAAGGCGACGAUACAUAGCCGACCUGAGAGGGUGAUCGGCCACACUGGGACUGAGACACGGCCCAGACUCCUACGGGAGGCAGCAGUAGGGAAUCUUCGGCAAUGGACGGAAGUCUGACCGAGCAACGCCGCGUGAGUGAAGAAGGUUUUCGGAUCGUAAAGCUCUGUUGUAAGAGAAGAACGAGUGUGAGAGNGGAAAGUUCACACNG